UUCGGCCAUAUCACGUGGAAACACCGGUUCCCGUACGAUCACCGUUGUUAAGCAACAUCAAGCCUGGUCAACACCUAGAUGGGUGACCUCUUGCGAAUAUCAGCUGC